rnacentral:rRNA from 1 species
GAAACGCCGACUAAUCCCCGAUGGGAUACGAUGCUUCAUGGCAUUGUAUUGAAAGUUACGGCGCCGACGGAUUGGCUCGCGUCCGAUUAGCUUGUUGGCGGGGUAACGGCCCACCAAGGCUACGAUGUUAGGGGUUCUGAGAGGAAGGCCCCCCACAAUGGGACUGAGACACGGCCCAUACUCCUACGGGAGGCAGCAGUGAGGAAUAUUGGUCAAUGGGCGGAAGCCUGAACCAGCCAUGCCGCGUGCGGGAAGGAGGCCCUAUGGGCUGUGAACCGCUUUUGCCUGGGGGCAAUAAGGGCGUCGCGCACGUCCGAUGAGAGUACCAGGCGAAUAAGCAUCGGCUAACUCCGUGCCAGCAGCCGCGGUAAUACGGGGGAUGCGAGCGUUAUCCGGAUUCAUUGGGUUUAAAGGGUGCGUAGGCUGUGCGUCAAGUCGGGGGUGAAAUUCCGGUGCUCAACACCGGGGCUGCCCUUGAUACUGUCGCGCUGGAGUGCGGAUGCCGCCGGAGGAAUGAGUGGUGUAGCGGUGAAAUGCUUAGAUAUCACUCAGAACACCGAUUGCGAAGGCAUCUGGCGAAUCCGUAACUGACGCUGAGGCACGAAAGCGUGGGGAUAGAACAGGAUUAGAUACCCUGGUAUUCCACGCCGUAAACGAUGAUGGCUAACCGCCGGCGACACACUGUCGGUGGC